UCGGGUAGUUCAGGCGCUCGAUGGUUCCGAGGAACAGCGGCAGAGAGUGCGCCGAGUUGCGGCAGACCAGCGCGAUAACGACCCGGGGAGCGAGGAUCGGAGACUCGGGGCUCCAGCGCUCCUCGGGGAAAUAGCCCCAGCUUCGGCCCGGCAGGAGAACGAACAGCAGGUACCAGUUUCCACAGGCUCCCUGUUGGCCAACAGCACCAGAGGAGGAAGCCGGAGUCAACCUUCAGGCGCAUGGAGAGCAUGCCUGGAGAAUCCCAACUGGGAUUUGAAUCAGGAACCUUCUAGCUCUGAGGCAACAUUUGUACCAUUGUGCUAAGAACAUGCACAGAUCAGGCAUAAGAUUAUGACCACCUGUCUAGCAUUGAGUGGCCCCUUUCAGACACAUUCAAAUCCUUACACUUGCCAAUUUUUUUCCUGCUUUUAAUGCAUCAGAAAAAAAAAAAACGUUGACUUGAUCCCUAAUAUCCCACCCAUUAACAGGUGCCAUGAUGAAGAGAUAAUCAGUGUUGUUCACCCAUCAGUGGUCAUAAUGUUAUGCCUGAUGGGUGUAUAUAUAGUCUCUUUUCUUCUGGUAGUUUAAUUAAUGUGCAUUUUACAACCUAAAUAAAUGUACAUGACCUUUA